GACGAACGCUGGCGGCGUGCUUAACACAUGCAAGUCGAACGGAAAGGCCCUGCUUUUGUGGGGUGCUCGAGUGGCGAACGGGUGAGUAACACGUGAGUAACCUGCCCUUGACUUUGGGAUAACUUCAGGAAACUGGGGCUAAUACCGGAUAGGAGCUCCUGCUGCAUGGUGGGGGUUGGAAAGUUUCGGCGGUUGGGGAUGGACUCGCGGCUUAUCAGCUUGUUGGUGGGGUAGUGGCUUACCAAGGCUUUGACGGGUAGCCGGCCUGAGAGGGUGACCGGCCACCAGGGAACUGAGACACGGGCCAGAGUCCUACGGGAGGCAGCAGUAGGGAAGCUUCCGCAAUGGGCGAAAGCCUGACGGAGCAACGCCGCGUGAGUGAUGAAGGUCUUCGGAUCGUAAAACUCUGUUAUUAGGGAAGAACAAAUGUGUAAGUACCUAUGAACGUCUUGACGGUACCUAAUCAGAAAGCCACGGCUAACUACGUG
rnacentral:rRNA from 1 species